rnacentral:rRNA from 1 species
AGAACGAACGCUGGCGGCAUGCCUAAUACAUGCAAGUCGAACGAACACUUCGGUGUUAGUGGCGCACGGGUGCGUAACGCGUGGGAAUCUGCCCUUGGGUUCGGAAUAACAGUUGGAAACGACUGCUAAUACCGGAUGAUGACGAAAGUCCAAAGAUUUAUCGCCCAGGGAUGAGCCCGCGUAGGAUUAGCUAGUUGGUGAGG